UUGUUUGUCCUCGACGCACAUAUACGUUUCCUUUUUAUCCCUUUCAAAAUAAAAUAAUUUGAGCAACGUUGUCUAAAAGCCACAGAGGCAACGAUUCAGCAAGCUAGUAGGCAUGUACCGUGAUGCUUUUAUUAGUAAAUUUAUGACCGUGAUAAAGGCAUAACGUAUAGUGGCAGAGAAGGAUAGAAGGAUCAACACGAAUGCAAAUGCCACAACGGAAAUUUAAAAAGAAAAAGAAAAGAAAAAAGGCACAAAGUGAGCAACGGUCCGACUAUAUUAUUGGUCCGGGUUGCUGGGGGACUCUUAUUGCCGACGGACGCCGGGAAGUUUGAAGAAGAUAGAAGAUUGAGGACUUUGAGAAGUUGAUAUCUGUCUCUGAGCUCUGCAGGCGGGACUUAUGACCUCAUGGCUUGGUUUUUGCCCUGGUUUUGGGCUCUGAGACCUUAUUAACAGGUUCGCGGACGUGUUGGACCAUCUUGAUGGAAGUUGACUCAACCUGCCUCAUUUCCACCCCUUCUGUUGACCUCAGAGCACCGCCACAGUGUUCUCUGGCCACCUCAAGAUGCUGACCAUGGGUUUUCAUUACGCUGAGUGUAAAACAGGAUUUGUACAAUUAGCAUUAAGAAAGGAAAUACUCGGAAACACCUGAUUUGUCUCAGGAAAACCAAAAAGAACGAGAGAAAACAUCCGCCCACGGCUCCGCCGCGGCCGAAGCCGAGAGAACCACCCACUGCUGCGCGGAGCACCGCCACAGAUGUGUUCUGAUCUGAGUGGAAGGCGUCGAGGCUGAGCCGGGUGAAAUGAAGACGUCCCCGAUAUCAUGUGCGGCCUACAGUAGAUUAAACAGAGGCGUGGGGUGGAGAGGUGCGGCUUUCCGCCUCCAAGGGGAAUUUCUCACGCCGGCGUCAGCCUCUGAGGAGAAUCGAAGGGAGGAGCACUUUUCUUUUCUUUGGGGAAAUCCAAGCAAACCGAGAAGAUGAUCGGAAAAAAAGCCCAACGUGCAUCAAUCAGGAACACUUCUGUUCCAACGGGAGGAUAUGGAGCCUCACGCUGUCCUUGCAGAUAGUAUUUCUGUCACUACAAGGUUAUGUACCUAAAGAAAAACAUGGAAGAGGAAAAACAUUUUUAAAAAUCUAGCAUUCCUUCUUUCCUGUUCUUGACAUGCCACAUCCUGAAUUUAGGAAAUACGAGAAAUUCUACUGUGGGGGAAGUAGAAUUAUCGUAGCAUAUCAGCAGAUUAAUUUCCUCUGGUUUUAAGGAGGAGGAAUAUUAAAACUGAGAACAAUCAAUCAUUCAGUAAUACAGAUUAUGCUUGUUAUUAGCAUUUCAUAUGUUACACAUUUACUUUACUUAUCCACAAUGACCCCUGUGGAACAUUUGGCUGUUGUUACAUAUGACAUGACAUAUUUAAUAGGUUUUCAAUUUCGCCUUUUAGGCCCAUUUAUCUUCUUUUUUUUUUCUUCUUUUUUUUUAACUCCCCAGCACGUUCCUAUAAGUGUGACGUGUUUUUGGUUACUUGUGCUAACCAUACCAAACUAAUUGCAGUGCAAGGUGGUGGCGAGGUUAGAAAAGGCCUGUUCCAUUGUGGUCACAUUUAUUACCGCUUUUUCAAGAUGUUUCAGGAUUUUUCAUAAGGACUUAAGUGAUAAAAUGAAACUUCCUUUAGCCACUGCUGAGUGGUUGCAUGAAAUGUAACAAUAAGGCAAAUCUGAGACCUAACAUGUGAAAUACAACUUCAGAGAGCGGGUUGUUAACUGAAAGUUAGACACAUUCAACAUUCUUGUCUUUACCAUUUGCUCCAGAAGAGGAGAUUUCCCUGUCAAAAAGAAAAGACAUCUUUGUAUAUUCACUCGCCAGCCUUCGGCUUGACAUGGUGACCAGUGUAACUCCCAUUGGGGAUAAAUAGGGGUUGUAAUAGCAUGAAAUACACCCCAGCAGUCACACUCAUCCCUGUUCUAGACAUAUUUAUGUCCCCAGUCAUCUUUUUUAAAAGGUUUAUGUUGGUACAAAAGGUAUAAUCAGGCAGUCAGCAAUCUAUCAUAAGUGUGGAGCAACACCCCCUAAGUUGUCCUACUUUACUUGUAUUGCCCACUUUUGGAACUAUUUUGUACUUUAUUCCUAUUUCUUCUGUUACUACUGCCGCUGCAGCUGGUGCUGAUGUUCCUUAUAGACACACACUUGAAAAAGAAUUCACCUGCACAUGAACUUCACCUUGAGGGUCUGUUUAGACUGGACGUCCAGUAAAUAAAUCUCUGUGCAUAUCUGACCUCAUGUUUACCAAAAAAAAUGCAAAAACACCUUAUUUAAAGCAUCCACGUUGUUAUUAUAGAGCAGCGUGGGCAGUAUAUUUCUUGGAUUUAUGGUUCCUUGUCAAUCUGGUGCAUGUUAGUGGGCUUUUGACCUGCGCACAGGGGCAAAUGCUGGCCCCCUCUUAGUCUGACUAACAAACAAGAAAGACUUUUAAUAUGUUGGGUUUUCUGAACAGCUAUGAAUCAUCAGAAGAAGUGAUGUGGCAGGAAGGAGCAUCGACGUCUGAACCUUAAGCGUUAAGGAAGGUGGUGGGAGUGUUUGUUAGGAGGCCUGGGAGAUUGAACAGCUUUAAGAGGCAGGCGUAUUCUAUUAGAGACUAUAUUGAUGCUAUGAAAAUCAAUUUGUGCUUUGAGGACUAGGUUUAUUAAGAGUUUAAAGUUGACAUUUAAUCUGCAAACCUGGGGUGACAAUGAUUCCCCCCACUGGGGUGCCACUCAAGUUCAGGUCCUUCACUUCCUCAGAGGCCUCUUUGUUUCACUGGUGUGGCCACACUGCCAUCUAGUGGUCGAAUAGUGUGAGUAUAUAUUUGUUUUCUUAGGCGUCUUCAAAACACUGCAAGAAUUCCCUUGUUUCAAGAUGAUGAUGCGCUGACACCAAAAAGUGUUCAAGAAAAGAUACAAGAACAACAGUGAAAAUACAACAGUUUGUGUUUGUGAUUCUUUAAUGCAGGUGGGGCUUGAAAGAGCAUCUGCUGAACUGACUUUAACCAUGGCUCAGCAGGUGACAGGUAAGCCAUACAGAUAAUGGUUGGAUGGAUGGAUGGAUGCAAAAAAAAAGAAAAGGGAAGUUUCUGGGAACUUGAAACAGUCCACUAAUCUGACCACAGGUUAAGAUCUGAAAUAACAAUACAGUCAGAUGUUGGAGGAAGAAUGAUCAUAAAUCCACAAUCCAUUGCAAAAAAUAAAACAUUUUUCUCCUUACUAAUGAUUUCAGUAUCAAAUUAUUCUAUUUUUUAUUAUUAUUAUUAUUUGUAAUUUUAUUUUUUUUAAAUGAUUUAAUUUAAUUCAAUUGAAAAUAUAUUUAAUUUAAUUUAUUUAAACAUUUAAUUUAAUGUAAUUCAUAUAAACAUUUAAUUUCAUUUAAUUUAUUUAAACAUUUAAUUUAAUUCAAUUUAAUUUAGUUUUGUAGAAUGAUAGUAGAAUUACUAACUGUUUGAUGGUUUUUAUUACUCGGUCGGCUCCUUUAAUGAAACAUCCUUUACGUCAAUGCGUCACGACAC